UACGGAGACUGCAAGCGUUGUUCGGAUUUACUGGGCGUAAAGGGUGCGCAGGCGGCCGGGUGUGUCGGGUGUGAAAAUUCGAGGCUCAACCUCGAAACUGCGCCCGAAACUAUCCGGCUAGAGUAUUGGAGAGGGAAGCGGAAUUCAUGGUGUAGCAGUGAAAUGCGUAGAUAUCAUGAGGAACACCAGUGGCGAAGGCGGCUUCCUGGACAAUUACUGACGCUCAGGCACGAAAGCGUGGGGAGCGAAAGGG
rnacentral:misc_RNA from 1 species